GGGUCGAUGCCCGAGCGGUUAAUGG
rnacentral:siRNA from 1 species